CGAAACCACGGGACGCAGCAGUAGGGAAUAUUGCUCAAUGGGGGAAACCCUGAAGCAGCAACGCCGCGUGGAGGAUUGAGGUUUUCGGAUUGUAAACUCCUUUUGUUAGAGAAGAUAAUGACGGUAUCUAACGAAUAAGCACCGGCUAACUCCGUGCCAGCAGCCGCGGUAAUACGGAGGGUGCAAGCGUUACUCGGAAUCACUGGGCGUAAAGAGCGCGUAGGCGGGAUAGCAAGUCAGAUGUGAAAUCCUAUGGCUUAACCAUAGAACUGCAUUUGAAACUGUUAUUCUAGAGUAUGGGAGAG
rnacentral:rRNA from 1 species